AUUUAAGAGCACGCCUCACUACUCAACACCGCGCAGCUAAACUUUGUUGGAGAAACCCUAAUAGGCGACAAUGGGUAUUUCUCGUGACUCAAUCCACAAGAGGCGUGCCACUGGAGGUAAGCAGAAGCAAUGGAGGAAGAAGCGAAAGU